GUGGCAAUGUCCCUAUCCUCAGACCAGGAGGCUGAUGUUCAAGUCUCACUUUCUCCAGAGGAGAUAGAGGUUCUGAACUGAGAGCGGGAAACGUCUACAUUCAGAUCCAGAUCCAGAUCCUUCUGUGACUGUCUUCUUGUCGAUUGUAAGAAAAUGGAUUGGUUAAUGGAGGUCCCUAUAGUAGUAAUCUUCAGUGUGUUUGGAUUAAUAACUAAUCUUUUCAUCCUGAUGACUCUGAGACUGCAACUAAAACAAGGUGGCCCACAUCCAACAGAAUACAUUGUCUCCAGCCUCGCCAUUGCUAAUAUCAUUACCAUUAUAGUCUCUGUGUCCAGAAUGGCAGUUGCAUCAUUUCAUAUAUACUGUGAGAUCCAGCAAAAGGUCAUUAAUACUCUUCUCUCUUUAUUACAUUCCAUGAGUUUCUGGAUGAGUAGCUUUCUCUGUUUAUUUUACUGUUUGAAAAUCAUCAGUAUCCACUGGCCCACUGCUAUCAAAUUGGUGCAGAUCAUCACCGCAAGAACCGGCCUGCUCCUUGGGUUGGUUUUUGCCAUGAGCUUCAGCCUUGGAGCACUGGCUGGUUACCUGAUUAAUGCAAGUCCUACCUGCUAUUAUGAGAAUGGAACAUACUAUUUCAAUGCAAUUAAUGAAUCACUAUCAGAACACAAUGAUGUGGUAAUUCAAAUCCUGAAUACUUAUAUUGAUCUUAUCUUGGGAUCUAUACUUCCUGCAAUCUGUAUGUCCACUAGCUCUUUCUGGAUUGUCUUUGUGCUCUGUAAACACAGGAGAAUUUCUCACAACCUUGCCACAAGUGUGAAUCAUCAGAAACACAAUCGACACAAGCGUAUAAUGUCGAUGAUCAUUUGUCUUUAUCUUUUAUUUCAUUUCAUUCUCUUCACAAGAAUUAUAGUUCUAACUUGUGUAAUUCUGAGUUCUUCCAGGUGCUUCAUUGCUCUGUGGGAUUUGAUUCGUUUUACUUAUUUUUAUGCAGCCUUUGCCUACGCUAUCGGGAAUCCAAUGA